rnacentral:rRNA from 1 species
GCGGAGGAAAAGNAACCAACCGGGAUUGCCUUAGUAACGGCGAGUGAAGCGGCAAAAGCUCAAAUUUGAAAUCUGGCGUCUUCGACGUCCGAGUUGUAAUUUGAAGAAGGCGACUUUGUAGCUGGUCCUUGUCUAUGUUCCUUGGAACAGGACGUCAUAGAGGGUGAGAAUCCCGUGUGGCGAGGAUCCCAGUUAUUUGUAAAGUGCUUUCGACGAGUCGAGUUGUUUGGGAAUGCAGCUCUAAGUGGGUGGUAAAUUCCAUCUAAAGCUAAAUAUUGGCGAGAGACCGAUAGCGAACAAGUACAGUGAUGGAAAGAUGAAAAGAACUUUGAAAAGAGAGUGAAAAAGUACGUGAAAUUGUUGAAAGGGAAGGGCAUUUGAUCAGACAUGGCGUUUGCUUCGGCUUUCGCUGGGCCAGCAUCAGUUUUAGCGGUUGGAUAAAUCCUCGGGAAUGUGGCUCUGCUUCGGUAGAGUGUUAUAGCCCGUGGGAAUACAGCCAGCUGGGACUGAGGAUUGCGACUUUUGUCAAGGAUGCUGGCGUAAUGGUUAAAUGCCGCCCGUCUUGAAACACGGACCAAGGAGUCUAACGUCUAUGCGAGUGUUUGGGUGUAAAACCCGUACGCGUAAUGAAAGUGAACGUAGGUGAGGGCCCGCAAGGGUGCAUCAUCGACCGAUCCUGAUGUCUUCGGAUGGAUUUGAGUAAGAGCAUAGCUGUUGGGACCCGAAAGAUGGUGAACUAUGCCUGAAUAGGGUGAAGCCAGAGGAAACUCUGGUGGAGGCUCGUAGCGGUUCUGACGUGCAAAUCGAUCGUCGAAUUUGGGUAUAGGGGCGAAAGACUAAUCGAACCAUCUAGUAG